UAUCACGCCCACCACGUGGGCUGGCCAAACUAGCUCACUGGUAUCGCAUACGGGCCAAGGUGCAGCUUGAACUCCCCGGAGUUUGCAAAUGAUGAAGGGAGUGGUUCCUAGUUAUUUUGUCCUCUAAAAAAAUAGUUAUUUUGUCGGGGUAAAAAAAAAAGUACUCCGCUUGCUUCCCGAUUCACUCCUGCACACAAAAUUUAAAGUUGUCAUUAAAAGUUGGAGGAAAUUAGCCGCCCCUGCCAUUUCAACUGGAAAAAAGAAAAAUUCCCCGAUCUUGUCCGGCGAUGGCAGAAAACCCUAGCGCUGCCACCGUCUCUGCCACCCCACCACCGCCGUCUCCGCCACC
rnacentral:lncRNA from 1 species